AACCCCCGGUUCUACCGGGGGUUCCAAAAAGCUUUAGCUAUGAGUAGAAAAAAAUAACCUCCUUUUGUUAAAAUAAAAAAGGUUCGCCAACCAAUUUUAGAAAACAAAAGG
rnacentral:ncRNA from 1 species